GGAGAGCUUGCUCCCUGAAGUCAGCGGCGGAGGGGUGAGUAACACGUGGGCAACCUGCCUGUAAGACUGGGAUAACUCCGGGAAACCGGGGCUAAUACCGGAUAAUUCUUUCCCUCACAUGAGGGAAAGCUGAAAGAUGGUUUCGGCUAUCACUUACAGAUGGGCCCGCGGCGCAAUAGCUAGUUGGUGAGGUAACGGCUCACCAAGGCAACGAUGCGUAGCCCACCUGAGAGGGUGAUCGGCCACACUGGGACUGAAACACGGCCCAAACUCCUACGGGAGGCAGCAGUAGGGAAUCUUCCGCAAUGGACGAAAGUCUGACGGAACAACGCCCCGUGAGUGAUGAAGGUUUUCGGAUCGUAAAACUCUUUUGUUAGGGAAGAACAAGUACCGGAGUAACUGCCGGUACCUUGACGGUACCUAACCAGAAAGCCACGGCUAACUACCUGCCAGCAGCCGCGGUAAUACGUAAGUGGCAAGCGUUGUCCGGAAUUAUUGGGCGUAAAGCGCGCGCAGGCGGUUCCUUAAGUCUGAUGUGAAAGCCCCCGGCUCAACCGGGGAGGGUCAUUGGAAACUGGGGAACUUGAGUGCAGAAGAGAAGAGUGGAAUUCCACGUGUAGCGGUGAAAUGCGUAGAGAUGUGGAGGAACACCAGUGGCGAAAGCGACUCUCUGGUCUGUAACUGACGC
rnacentral:rRNA from 2 species